rnacentral:misc_RNA from 1 species
GAUGAAGAACGCAGCGAAAUGCGAUAAGUAAUGUGAAUUGCAGAAUUCAGUGAAUCAUCGAAUCUUUGAACGCACAUUGCGCCCCCUGGUAUUCCGGGGGGCAUGCCUGUCCGAGCGUCAUUACAACCCUCAAGCUCAGCUUGGUGUUGGGCCCCGCCGCCCCGGCGGGCCCUAAAGUCAGUGGCGGUGCCGUCCGGCUCCGAGCGUAGUAAUUCUUCUCGCUCUGGAGGUCCGGUCGUGUGCUCGCCAGCAACCCCCAAUUUUUUUCAGGUUGACCUCGGAUCAGGUAGGGAUACCCACUGAACUUAAGCAUAUCAAUAAGCGGAGGA